rnacentral:rRNA from 1 species
UACGGAGGGUGCAAGCGUUAUCCGGAUUCACUGGGUUUAAAGGGUGCGUAGGCGGGCAGGUAAGUCGGGUGUGAAAUCUCGGGGCUUAACUCCGAAACUGCAUUCGAUACUGCCGUGCUUGAGGACUGGAGAGGAGACUGGAAUUUACGGUGUAGCGGUGAAAUGCGUAGAUAUCGUAAGGAAGACCAGUGGCGAAGGCGGGUCUCUGGACAGUUCCUGACGCUGAGGCACGAAGGCCAGGGGAGCAAACGGG